ACAGGAAUGCAUUUCUGAAGUCAUGAGAAAGUGAUUAGAUAUAUGUGGUUCUCACUGGACAGUGAUGCUGCAAAAAUAGAUGAACUUGUUGAAAAUGAUGUCAGGGGGAAUGGAUUAGUGUAUGAUGUGAUAACUUGUCUCUGUACCGGCUGAAAAUGUCCUGGAAAAUAAUUUCUAGGAAAGAAUGGGAACCCUGGAUGUGUUUCAGUAGAUGAAAUGAAUACUCAAAAUGCCUCUACAUCUACAGGUUUUAAAUGUAAUAUACUCCUUAUGAUUGUAGUAAUAUGAAUCCAAAACUUCAUAAGAGUAAAACACUGUUAGGGAAGAUUUAUCUACUUUAUUCAGAGACAGUGCACAUUUAUACAUUAACAUCAUAACCAGGAAAGACACUUGUGCAAGUUUUUAACAG